rnacentral:lncRNA from 1 species
UAGGACCAGUGUGAUUUGUGGGACAAGGCUAGCAGUGCUCUUCUUCAGCUGAAGUAAAUCUCGGCAAGUCUGAACCAGCUGCUAACUAGCAUCAGUGCUCCAGGUUCUGCAGUACAAUGAUUUCAAAGUAAUUUUGAAAACUUAUGGCUGGCUGGAGCAGGAUCAGCUCUUUGGAGAACUGGAGCCUGUUGGGUGGUCAGAUAGGUUGUUCAAAUGGGGAAAACUGGCCACUUCCUUCCUCCCCUUCCCCCUUUGUCCCUGUUCUUCACAGAGGAGCACUGGACUUAAACCGGGUUUUGUGCCCAGACUGGACUGCAUUUUACCAAACAAGCAAGAAGGGGAGCAUGGGCUUAAUUCCAAUCUCAUCUUGGGCGUAGUGCUUCGAUAAAAACAUCAACAGAAUCAACUGCUGAGCAUUGGAAAAUACAUGGAAUUGACUUCUAUUUGUAUCACCUGCAAGCCUGAAAGAAAAGGGAAUUGGGAAUUAUGCCUGCUGGGAAAAUGCAAGCAAAACAAAACAAAAUGAUGAAAGGAACCAGAGCAUCUGAUAAUAAAAUUAUCCUUUUCAACA